rnacentral:rRNA from 1 species
GAUGAACGCUGGCGGCGUGCCUAAUACAUGCAAGUCGAGCGAACGGACGAGAAGCUUGCUUUUCUGAUGUUAGCGGCGGACGGGUGAGUAACACGUGGAUAACCUACCUAUAAGACUGGGAUAACUUCGGGAAACCGGAGCUAAUACCGGAUAAUAUUUUGAACCGCAUGGGUCAAAAGUGAAAGACGGUCUUGCUGUCACUUAUAGAUGGAUCCGCGCUGCAUUAGCUAGUUGGGAAGGUAACGGCUUACCAAGGCAACGAUGCAUAGCCGACCUGAGGGGCUGAUCGGCCACACUGGAACUGAGACACGGUCCAGACUCCUACGGGAGGCAGCAGUAGGGAAUCUUCCGCAAUGGGCGAAAGCCUGACGGAGCAACGCCGCGUGAGUGAUGAAGGUCUUCGGAUCGUAAAACUCUGUUAUUAGGGAAGAACAUAUGUGUAAGUAACUGUGCACAUCUUGACGGUACCUAAUCAGAAAGCCACGGCUAACUACGUG